rnacentral:rRNA from 1 species
UCGAAACCUGCAAAGCAGACCCGUGAACAUGUUCAAAUAAACUUUGUGGACAUGAUGUUGGAUUCCAACGUCGUGUCCGCCGACCCCAAACGGCGAGAGUCGCUUGGGCGUAAUAAACUCUCGGCGCGGCAAGCGCCAAGGAAAACCAAAUCGAUCGCCUCUCCAUGCUAGUGCUGUACGCAGCACUGAAUAUGUGGAGGAGCAUCUAUGCAAAUAGUCAUAACGACUCUCGGCAACGGAUAUCUCGGCUCUCGCAUCGAUGAAGAACGUAGCGAAAUGCGAUACUUGGUGUGAAUUGCAGAAUCCCGUGAACCAUCGAGUCUUUGAACGCAAGUUGCGCCCAAAGCCAUCAGGCUGCGGGCACGUCUGCCUGGGCGUCACGCAUCUCGUCAGCCCCCAACAUCAUCAUUCCACACAUAGUGUUGGGAAUGAUGCAUGAAACGUGGGGGAGGAAAUUGGCCUCCCGUUAUCAGUGUGUAGCGGCCGGCCCAAAUAGGAAACCGUGUGGAUGGAUGUCACACGAUUUGUGGUGGUUGGAUUCUUCAACUUGCAGACAAUCGUGUGGGACUAUCGGCGGACGGUUAGGACCCAAGUGGCAGCAAUUGCCCUCGAAUGUA